rnacentral:rRNA from 1 species
AGAUUGAACGCUGGCGGCAUGCCUAACACAUGCAAGUCGAACGGGAGUAGCAAUACUCUAGUGGCGGACGGGUGAGGAAUACGUAGGAAUUUGCCCUUAAGUGGGGAUAACCCGGGAAACCCGGAUUAAUACCGCAUGACCUCGAAAGAGCAAAGUGGGGGAUCGCAAGACCUCACGCUUUUGGAGAAGCCUACGUCGGAUUAGCUAGUUGGUGAGGUAAUGGCUCACCAAGGCGACGAUCCGUAACUGGUCUGAGAGGAUGAUCAGUCACACCGGAACUGAGACCACGGUCCGACUCCUACGGGAGGCAGCAGGUGGGAAUAGUUGGAACUAAGUGGGCGCAAGGCCUAGAUCCAAGCAAUCGCCGGUGUGUGUAGGAAGAAGGUCCUUCGGUUAGUAAAGUACACUUAGGUAA